rnacentral:misc_RNA from 1 species
GGUUGCUGUUACGGCGGUGGCGAUUGCAUCCGGAGCUUGCCUUUCUACUAAGGUCGAUUUUUUGUGGCCCAAAGUGGAUGAACAACCUGGAUCACUCUUAUUGGAUGGAGUAGAUGUCACUGGAUACCCCAUCUUCAAUGAUGAUAAGGUGCAGAAGGCUAUUGCAUUUGCACGAAAAGCUCACAAUGGACAGCUUCGCAGAACUGGAGAGCCGUAUUUAACACAUUGUAUUCACACAGGAAAAAUUGUAGCUGUCUUGGUUCCAUCAACUGGGAAAAGGGCCAUUGAUACGGUUGUUGCG